UAACGCCUGCGGUAUUCGUGAUAUUAUUUUUGUUUUUGAACCAAUUACGAACGGGAAGUCGAGCCAUUUGCGGCGCACGAGCCGGACAUGAUUCGGAUGUGUAAAGCAGAUAAGGUAGACAUCCACCUUGUUUCCGGUUCGCUAAAACAAUAAUACACGGUACUGCGGGUUAAUA
rnacentral:other from 1 species